rnacentral:rRNA from 1 species
UGAGUAACGCGUAUGGACCGACCUCGACCGUUGCAGGGGGAUAAUCGGGAGAAAUCCCGUCUAAUACCGCGUAACGCCGCGGGGCUGCAUGGCCCUGCGGCCAAAGGGAGCGAUUCCGGCAACGGAUGGGCAUGCGUGACAUUAGCUAGUUGGCGGGGCAACGGCCCAUCAAGGCGACGAUGUCUAGGGGUUCUGAGAGGAAGGUCCCCCACACUGGUACUGAGACACGGACCAGACUCCUACGGGAGGCAGCAG